rnacentral:rRNA from 1 species
GAUGAACGCUGGCGGCGUGCCUAAUACAUGCAAGUCGAACGACACUUCUUUAUCACCGAGUGCUUGCACUCACCGAUACAGGGUUGAGUUGCGAACGGGCGAGUAACACGUGGGCAACCUGCCCAAAAGAGGGGGAUAACACUUGGCAACAGGUGCUAAUACCGCAUAACCAUAGUUACCGCAUGGUAACUAUGUAAAUGGUGGCUAUACUACCGCUUUUGGAUGGGCCCGCGGCGCAUUAGCUAGGUGGUAGGGUAAAGGCUUACCAAGGCAAUGAUGCGUAGCCGAAUCGAGAAGUUGGACGGCCACAUUGGGACUGAGACACGGCCCAAACUCCUACGGGAGGCCGCAGUAGGGAAUCUUCCACAAUGGGCGGAAGCCUGAUGGAGCAACGCCGCGUGGGUGAAGAAGGUCUUCGGAUCUGAAAACCCUGUUGUUAGAGAAGAAAGUGCGUGAGAGUAACUGUUCACGGUUCGACGGUAUCUAACCAGAAAGCCACGGCUAACUACGUG